rnacentral:rRNA from 1 species
CCUUGAGAGCUUAGUGGCGCAGCUAACGCAUUAAGUCGACCGCCUGGGGAGUACGGCCGCAAGGUUAAACUCAAAUGAAUUGACGGGGGCCCGCACAAGCGGUGGAGCAUGUGGUUUAAUUCGAAGCAACGCGAAGAACCUUACCAGGCCUUGACAUCCCAGGACAUCCCCAGAGAUGGGGCUUCCACUUCGGUGGCCUGGAGACAGGUGCUGCAUGGCUGU